rnacentral:rRNA from 1 species
GACGAACGCUGGCGGCGUGCCUAACACAUGCAAGUCGAACGGAGUUAAGAGAGCUUGCUUUCUUGACUUAGUGGCGAACGGGUGAGUAACGCGUGAGGAAUCUGCCUUUCAGUGGGGGACAACAGUUGGAAACGACUGCUAAUACCGCAUAAGCCCACGGCCCGGCAUCGGGCUGAGGGAAAAGGAUUUAUUCGCUUCAGGAUGGACUCGCGUCCAAUUAGCUAGUUGGUAAGGUAACGGCUUACCAAGGCGACGAUCAGUAGCCGACCUGAGAGGGUGACCGGCCACAUUGGGACUGAGACACGGCCCAA